UAUAUUAAUUAUUUCAUAAUAUGUAAAAAUAUUUAAUACAUAAAAUAAUUUAUAUAUAUAAUGUUGAUCCCGCGCAAGGCGCAGAUCUUAACCUAGUAUUAUGUUAUUUACCGUGUAUAAAACAUAUAUGGUUUCAGACUUUCUCUCUCUACUUCAAGCCUCCAAGGACGGCGUAGAAGAAAACGAGAAAACAAAAGCAGAUCAAUGUUGGUUUAUGUGUUUUGAAAACAAAUGAUUGUUGGUUCAUGAGCUGAAGUAACUAUUAAGAGAGAACCAUGUUAUUGUCGUUAAGUUUGUUAUAGAGUCCUUACAGAGCUUUAUAUAGUAGCUACUGAACCCGAAUUUAUCUUAACCCGUUUACAAAACAAAACCAAACAUUAAACCAAUACUCUAAUCACUACAGGAAAUGUGGGUAUUAAUAGCAUCAGAUUAUAUCAUUUAUGACAGUUCUGCUAUUAUAUACCAACACUGACUUUUUUAAAAGUGUUUAUAAAUUUAAAACGCUAUGUUUGGUAUCGCGGAAAAAUAAAAAAAUUUAGCCGCGUUAAUUUACUAACGGUAGACGCCUUAUCAUUUCAGAUCCAAAAUUAAAUGCUAUCGUAAAUGUUAAAUAUCUCAAAUUUUAACCAAAAAUACUUUAAUUAUUCUUAAACCAGGAAUCGAAAGACCCAGCUUCUCUGUCUUUUGACGGAUCCUCCUCCUCCUUUCGAUGGCACGCUCGCCAUCCCACCACCACCACCACCACACCACGUUUUGAUCCUCUCUCUCUCUCUCUCUGUUAGGCGUUGAAAGUUGAAAGAUUGAAGAGGGUGUGGUUUCCAGCUGGUUCUAGAGUGACAAGGAUUUCUGUUCAAAGGAUCCUUAAUCAUGGUGAUUCAAGAGCGUAAGCAAUGUCCGUUCUCCGAGAUCGCAGGCAAGCACAACUUUCUCAUAUCAAGUUUGCAGAGAUUGAAAACACUGUCACAAUGCAGUAUGAAGGUUGUGGUUUGUUUGCAGAGGCGUGUUUAAGAUAUUAGAGUGGGCUGAUAUCAUAAACGCUCACACAAUAUCAUGGCCAGGAAUCGUCAACGGCUUGAAGUUGAAGAUACUUGGGAGCAGUUUCAGAUCAAUGGAACGGUUGAGACCAGACCAAGCUUCAAGUCGGAGCUAAGAGAGAAGGCUUGGUUUGCAAAUUUUCGAGAUAAAGGCUUGCUAAUUGAGGUGAUUGAUGCUAAGCUUUUCAGGUCUCUGGUGAAGACAAAGCUCUCUGAACUUGUGUGGGUAAGAACGGUCUUUGAUCAUGUUCAACACAGAUUCCGUUGUGUGGCUAGCUUGAUUUAAGACCAAGGGAAGUUCCGUAGCGAGUUAGCAUCAAAGCGGCUCACUCUGUUUCCAAGAUCGAAGGACUUGCAGACAGCAAAAUAUACAAUGCGGAUGGAUAUAUCAUCAGUGGACAUUCACUGGGACAUUUGUGUUCAGCAUUGGCUAUGCUUUUACUUACCGUUAUGCUUUUGUAUAGAUGCAUUCGGUUUCAGAGAUUAAGUUAGCUCAAAGGCCCAUCCUUGACAACCAAACAAAUAAAAAACACAGUUCUGUGUCAUUUUUCUUUAUUCAAGGCGGUGGCUCACCAGUUAUGCGAUGGGACUAAAGGAUGAGCUUGAUGGUGGUUAAGAGAAUACCUUGAUGCUUUUAGUUCAUGUUUUCAUGUAUGGACUUUUAAUUCAUGUUUUCAUGUAUUGACUUUGUGUGUUUUAAAUUUUUAAUGGAAAACUACAGAAAACUA